CGAAAUGCGCUAAGUAAUGCGAAUUNCAGAAUUCAGUGAGUCAUCGAAUCUUUGAACGCAUAUUGCG
rnacentral:rRNA from 1 species